UGGGGAAUCUUGCGCAAUGGGGGAAACCCUGACGCAGCGACGCCGCGUGCGGGAUGAAGGCCUUCGGGUUGUAAACCGCUUUCAGCAGGGACGAGGCCUUAUGGUGACGGUACCUGCAGAAGAAGCCCCGGCUAACUACGUGCCAGCAGCCGCGGUAAUACGUAGGGGGCAAGCGUUAUCCGGAUUCAUUGGGCGUAAAGCGCGCGUAGGCGGUUUGUUAGGUCAGGAGUUAAAUCUGGGGGCUCAACCCCUAUCCGCUCCUGAUACCGGCAGGCUUGAGUCUGGUAGGAGAAGGCGGAAUUCCAAGUGUAGCGGUGAAAUGCGCAGAUAUUUGGAAGAACACCGGUGGCGAAGGCGGCCUUCUGGGCCACGACUGACGCUGAGGCGCGAAAGCUAGGGGAGCGAACAGG
rnacentral:rRNA from 1 species